rnacentral:tRNA from 1 species
GCAACCAUAGUGUAGGGGUUAUCAUCCCAGCCUUCCAUUAUACAGAAAGCUGGGGACUCGGGUUCGAGUCCCGAUGGUUGCA